UGCGUAGGCGGCUUUCUAAGUUGGAUGUGAAAACUAUGGGCUCAACCCAUAGCCUGCAUCCAAAACUGGAGAGCUUGGGUUCUGGAGGGGAAAGCGGAAUUCCUGGUGUAGCGGUGAAAUGCGUAGAUAUCAGGAGGAACACCGGUGGCGAAGGCGGCUUUCUGGACAGAUACCGACGCUGAGGCACGAAAGGCUAGGGAGCAAACA
rnacentral:rRNA from 1 species